GCAAGCGUGCAUGACAAUACAGGAAAUUUUGCGGUCGCUUCGCAUGUGUGAAAAGGCAAUCUUUCAAGGAGGUUGGACAAAAGAGUUAUUGGACGAGGUUGAAACAAUUCCAAAAUGGCGAAAUGACAGUUUUUCCUUAGCAUGAAUCGUUACGAUAACAUUAGUAACUUCAAUAUGAUGUUAUUGGUCAAUCGAGCUACAGUCUGAGGACACAAUCAUAGAGAAAGUCAUAUUCACGAUUAAUCAAACAUUCUUAUGUGCGAUAUAAACAGGGACCACUGUACAUCGUGAUACCUUGCUAUUCGAAGUGAAAUCUUGUUGUUUCAGCGUGAUCGCCAAAAUGAAUUGAAUAAAACGAUAUAUCUUGAAUAUUUCACAAAUUGAAUUCCCUAAGAAAUCUGAUGAGGAUGACGUUUGUAAUUUUGAUUUACCGAUGCAUUGUUGGAAGAAAUGAGCAUCUUAUAACUUUAGGAUUGUCUGAAAUUCAGGAACUCAUAAUAAAUCAAAAUACAUUCAUUUUUGGAAAAUUGUCUUCUUCGAAGUUUCCCUUAACGUGCUAAACAUUAAUUUUUGUUUCAACGUUUCGUAACGUAAAGCUACUAACUUGAUACUUGUGAGAUUUAGCAAAAUUCAGAUUGUUAAGCUGAACCGUCUUACAAUUAGUUCAAUCAAUGUUAGCAUGUUUGGCUGCUAACUCUAAUUGCAUAUUUCGGCUAGACUGCCAACCCUGAUUGCUAACUUCAUAUUGACUAUCCAUAAUGAUUCAAAAGUAUAUAGAUCAAUUUUAACUUUUAGUUUUAGUCCCAUUGCCAAUUUGUCCCUCGGUUCGUCAUAUAAUGAGAUAACUGUACAAUUUUUUGAACUGACCUCCACAACAUAGGUACUAAUCCUGCAUAAAAACCUCGGAUGCCAUUUUUCGUAUAAAUAUCCACACCAGUUAAUAUAGCUUUCGGUCUUUUCGACAGUUUGCUUUCAUCCCCUGGUUGGUAUAUUCCUGUAGAGAAUAUAUUUAGAAUAUUAUUACAAAAUAUUGCACCCAAGUGUGUAAGCAUAUGUAGAAAAAAGUAAAAUGUGAAUCAAAUAGAAUAGAUUUCAAGUCAAAAUUAAAUGAAUCAAAUUACGCAUCUAAACUGUUAUAAUUAUUAAAUUACAGGAUGUGACAUGUCGCACGUGAAUCAUUAACUUCUGGUCUUUUCUCUGUAAUAUAUCUGUGGCAUUCACCAAAUCCAUACACUUAUCUGUAAAAUAUGCUAUGAGAUGAUACAACAGCGUAUUGUUGUGUCAAAUGUUUGUAACGUUCUGUACUGUCCAAUGGA